CACACAUUGGAAUUUCGCUAACUCCUCCGAAGGCUUUCGUUCCACCGGCACCAAAUUUGCUCAGGCCAAUCUACACCCCAUGGCCAUUAAAAAUUGUACAAAUCAUGACGCUGCACCCCACGGUUUACGUUCUAGGGGGCGCCAAAGAUAACCCAAAAAUCCACAUUCUUAAAAGUCUAAUAACUUUUUAUUUUUGUCCUCACUGGCCUCCAAGUUUUCUAGGAUGAUGCAAUGUCCAGCCAUCAACACAUUUGUGAAGGAAUUUUUACUCCCCAAAAGAGCGCCCCCCCCAUGGCAGGAGAAAAAAGUCCAUUUUUUUCUUGUCCCCUAAGGUGAAAAUACAUAUUGUUGAGUGUCACGCCUAUACGCUUUGUCAUAUUGACACAAAAUUUGACACACACGUGUAUCUCAAUAAGAUCUACAAAAAAGUCAGCGCGGGCGUAUCUGUCAAAUGUACGGUUAAAGGGCUAUUUCGCAUUUUUUGCCGAUCCGCACACAUUGGAAUUUCGCUAACUCCUCCGAAGGCUUUCGUUCCACUGGCACCACAUUUGCUCAGGCCAAUCUACACCCCAUGGCCAUUAAAAGUUGUACAAAUCAUGACGCUGCACCCCACGGUUUAGGUUCUAGGGGGCGCCAAAGAUAACCCAAAAAUCCACAUUCUUAAAAGUCUUAUAACUUUUUAUUUUUGUCCUCACUGGCCUCCAAGUUUUCUAGGAUAAUGCAAUGUCCAGCCAUCAACACAUUUGUGAAGGAAUUUUUACUCCCCAAAAGAGCGCCCCCCCAUGGCAGGAGAAAAAAGUCCAUUUUUUCUUGUCCCCUUACAUGAAAAUACACAUUGUUGAGUGUCACGCCUGAACGCUUUGUCAUAUUGACACAAAAAUUGACAAUCAUGUGUAUCUCAAUUAGAUCUACGAAAAAGUCAAAGAGCGCGUAUCUGUAUAAUGUACGGUAAAAGGGCUAUUUUGCAUUUUUUGCAGAUUCGCACACAUUGGAAUUUCGCUAAUUCCUCCUAAGGCUUUCGUCCCACUGACACCAAAUUUGCUCAGGCCAAUCUACAACCCAUGGCCAUUCACAGUUGUAAAAAUCAUGACGCUGCACCCCACGGUUUACGUUCUAGGGGGCGCCAAAGAUGACCCAAAUAUACAUUACAGCAGACAAAGUAGUUUUGGCCACUGAGUGGCGCCAAAGGGACUUGUCUAUGGAGUCUGGGAGUCACUAUUGGCCGUUUUUGACUACUUUAGAUUUUACCUUUAUAUUUCCUCUUAAAAAUUUUCUACCUUGCCUUGCCUGGUAUCAUUUUUUUCAGCACAACCUCACCUGUGUGAAUUUACAGUUAUUUUAUCAUUUUGACAUACUGUUUUUACACAAUGGACCCAAAUUCACACACAAAACAUAAAAUCCGAGUGGAAAAAAGUAACAUUUUUACUGUGAAAACCACAAAUAUGUUUGAUGAACUGUUUUUAAAACUUUAACUUCAAAUACAAAUUGUAAACUUCAAAAAAUAUGCAAAUUUUUAACAAAGAACAUAGUAAUUUACCUCUAUUUACAUCAAAAUGCAGGCAAUGGCCCAGGCGUUCUUUGUAAAAUUAUUUACAAAACAUUAUAUAGUCUCACAAAUGUCACUUUUUAUUUAUGCCACUACAAAAAAACAUGAUGUAAAUGAUGCAUGAUGUAAAACAUGAUGUAAAAAACUUUUGUGUAGAUGCUCCUCUAUGUCAGUCCAUGUGUAAUUUUUCCAUAAUUCUUUGUUUUUUGCAGCAUUUUUGUUAGUGAAACUGCAGAUUGUGCUGACAGUGUCUAUGGCAAAAAAAAAAAAAAAAAAAAUUAAAAUGCCUCAUCAUGAACCCCUGGUGGUCUCUGAGGGUGAAACCUGCUAACUGCUGCAGCUCUGUCAGCUUCAGUCUCCCAUGCAGAGCUCUGAGCGCAUGUGUGGCUCUGCACCCUUAGCAGCAUUGCUAACUCCUCAGUAAGGAAAGCCUGCUUCAUGUCAGAGUCUCUAAACUCCAGAAGAAGUCGAUAAAAGUCCCUUUCUUUCUAAAAAAAAAAGGCGUUAGGGGGUCUGAAAAGUCAUUGAAUCUAACAACAAAGUCGCUAGGUUUGCAACUACGUGUCCCAGACUGCAUCCCUGCUGAGAGUCCCUCCCUCCCUUCUCAUGUUGCAGGAAGAACGUAAGCACCCGCCCCUUGUCAAUCAGUCACCAUAUAAUUUUGGAUUGGUUGUUGUGGUAAAGUUUUCCACCAAUAGGAGAGAUGUUGUGGUGUGUUUUUUUUUCUUUUGGCAAGCCUUUUCCGCCUGUAAGACCUGUCGCUAAUGUCUGCAUGCUAUGUUUUCGUGUCUCAUACAGCGCGAUCGAACGCCGAACGUGAUCGAAAUAAGCAGAAAAAAAGUAUCGCAGACAUAAUUUAUCAUAACUCUGGUUUUAUUUGGCCUAGCAAGACAAUUUAAAAACUGGUAUAUAGUUUGAGGUCCUCACUUUGGAGAUAAGUUGAAACGGAGAGUCAACGAGGCUCCGUCUUGCAGCUACAUCCGGUUAAAUAUGUCAUGUGACUUGAACGCUGGGGAGCGUCAAUCGACUGCAGAGCCAGCAGACAAAGUUGUUAUGGCCACUGAGAGGCACACAUUUUAUCAUAUGCUAUAAUCCGAACAUAUUUUAAUGCUUUUUCUAUUUAAACCUAAUGGAUCUAAGGUUUGACCUUCAAAAUUUAGGAAGAAUAUGUUUCUGCAGUAAUGACCCCCUUAAACAACCAGAGGUCCUUUCCUAAAGUUUAUGGAAAUUUUAGUGAAGGCCUUGGUUUCUGUCCUUGCAAAAUGUAUAGAAAUAAUAAAGCUAAAUACCAUAAAAUGGUCUUGGCGUAUUAGCAGUGAUAUAAAAUAGUGGUUUGAAUAUGAAUGAACAACAAAAAAAAAAACAUCAACAGAGCCUUUUUGAGUUGGGAUUCUUUCAUUAUCACACAAAAACAGACAUAGACAGACAUCUAAAGGGUAAGGGAAUGAUCAGCCCUCCUAACUCUCAGAAGAAUCUUCAAAAUUCACCUCAGAAAUAUGCUUAUUAUUCUUCUCAGAGUAUUGCAGGAUACACACACACACACACACACACACACUCACAGUCUUUUUUUUAGCACCUGCAAAAACAUGCUAUUUACAUAUUUGAAAAGAAUGCAGAGGCCCCUUUUUGCCCCUGGAAAAAAUCAAAUUUCAAACACAACUUGACUGCUCAUUUCUCCAAAAGACAACCAUGAAGCUCCAUCCAAACCUGAAGCAGGCAGUUGGUGCAUGUGUACAGUAACCCGAGGGGAGUGAGGUGACUGCUUCUGAGGAGAACAUGAGCAGUGAAGAUUCACCUUGGAGCUAGAACAGGGAUGUGCACAUGAUUAUACAGGGGCAGGGGCUCAAGUUUUUUCCAGUCAUUUAUGCAAUAUGGAAAUUAAUGUGAAAUUAAAAAACAAAGUAUUAAUAGAAAGGUUAUGACUGUCCUGUGUAGAUGACAGUGAUAUCCAAUAGGCUAGGCACUCACGAGGCUGGCUGUGGCAAGUGUAAGUGAAAGCAACACGCACUGGCAGGAAGAAAAGCAAACGCCGAUGAAGGAAAGGGUCUUUGCAGUGAUGGGCGUUACCAGAGAGGGCGAUGGCCAGAGGACGCGAAUGGGACGGGGAGGCAGCGCGUUGGGGGGGGCGGCGCGACACGGCUCGGGCCCGCCAGUGCCCCAACGGGGCCCUAGUUAGGGCCCGAGCGUAGCUGCUAAGCAGCUGCGAGAGCCCUGUUGUUCCUGUAUAGGUUUUUCUUUGUUUUUAGGGCCCGAGCCAGCUGCAGAGCAGCCGGGUGUAGAGCCCUAUUAUUCCUGUAUAGGUUUUUCUUUCUUCUUUCUUUCUUUCUUUCUUCUUAUUUUUCCUGACACAAUGACACAAAAAUUGACACACACAUGUAUCUCAAUAAGAUCUACAAAAAAGUCAGUGCGGGCGUAUCUGUCAAAUGUACGGUUAAAGGGUUAUUUCGCAUUUUUUGCCGAUCCGCACACAUUGGAAUUUCGCUAACUCCUCCGAAGGCUUUCGUUCCACUGGCACCACAUUUGCUCAGGCCAAUCUACACCCCAUGGCCAUUCAAAGUUGUACAAAUCAUGAUGCUGCACCCCACGGUUUACAUUCUAGGGGGCGCCAAAUAUAACCCAAAAAUCCACAGUCUUAAAAGUCUUAACUUUUUAUUUUUGUCCUCACUGGCCUCCAAGUUCUCUAGGAUGAUGCAAUGUCCAGCCAUCAACACAUUUGUGAAGGAAUUUUUACUCGCCAAAAGAGCGCCCCCCCCCCAUGGCAGGAGAAAAAAGUCCAUUUUUUCUUGUCUCCUAAGGCGAAAAUACACAUUGUUGACUGUCACACCUUUACGCUUUGUCAAAAUGACACAAAAUUUGACACACACAUGUAUCUCAAUAAGAUCUACGAAAAAGUCAAUGCGAGCGUAUCUGUUCAAUGUACGGUUAAAGGGCUAUUUCGCAUUUUUUGCCGAUUCGCACACAUUGGAAUGUGGCUAACUCCUCCUGAAGCUUUUGUCCCAUCGGCUUCAAAUUUGCUCAGGUCAAUCUACACCCCAUGGCCAUUAAAAGUUGUACAAAUCAUGAUGCUGCACCCCACGGUUUACGUUCUAGGGGGCGCCAAAGAUAACCCAAAUAUCCACAGUCUUAAAAGUCUUAUAACUUUUUAUUUUUGUCCUCACUGGCCUCCAAGUUCUCUAGGAUGAUGCAAUGUCCAGCCAUCAACACAUUUGUGAAGGAAUUUUUACUCGCCAAAAGAGCGCCCCCCCAUGGCAGGAGAAAAAAGUUCAUUUUUUCUUGUCUCCUAAGGCGAAAAUACACAUUGUUGACUGUCACGCCUUUACGCUUUGUCAAAAUGACACAAAAUUUGACACACACAUGUAUCUCAAUAAGAUCUACAAAAAAGUCAGUGCGGGCGUAUCUGUCAAAUGUACGGUUAAAGGGUUAUUUCGCAUUUUUUGCCGAUCCGCACACAUUGGAAUGUGGCUAACUCCUCCGAAGGCUUUCGUUCCACUGGCACCACAUUUGCUCAGGCCAAUCUACACCCCAUGGCCAUUAAAAGUUGUACAAAUCAUGACGCUGCACCCCACGGUUUACGUUCUAGGGGGCGCCAAAGAUAACCCAAAAAUCCACAGUCUUAAAAGUCUUAUAACUUUUUAUUUUUGUCCUCACUGGCCUCCAAGUUCUCUAGGAUGAUGCAAUGUCCAGCCAUCAACACAUUUGUGAAGGAAUUUUUACUCGCCAAAAGAGCGCCCCCCCAUGGCAGGAGAAAAAGUCAAGUUUUUCCUGCCCAUCGCUCAAUGGCUCAAACGCAUCGCUCUCUCGGCAAAACCGAAAGGAGGAGCAACUUGCCAUUUGGAUAUAUACUAGCUGUGUUUGUGCCCUCACUCAUGGUCCAGACUUUUUUCAAAAAGGACAUGGAGUUUGUCUGCAGCAAGCGUUUUGGUAGAAACUGCGCCUCCCAUUCAUUAUAAUGGUAAAUGACCACAGACAAGUGCGCACACCAUCUUUGGACCUUGAGUGUGACGCGAUCGGGAGGGGUAGGCGGUCGCGCUGGGGGUGGCGCGACACGGCUCAGGCCCGCCAGUGCCCCAACGGGGCCCUAGUUAGGGCCCGGGCCAGCUGCAGAGCAGCCGGGCGUAGAGCCCUAUUAUUUCUGUAUAGGUUUUUCUUUCUUCUUUCUUUCUUUCUUUCUUCUUAUUUUUCCUCCCCUUUGAACUGGAAAAUGGCCCACUUCCCACUGGCGAAAACUCAUGAAAUUUGGCAGGACGACCGGGCCUGGUGAAAAAAUUGAUAUUCUGAAGUCACCCAAACAAUAAAAUGCAAAAUGGCUCCAUAGCGCCCCCUAAGGUGAAAAUUCACACUAUUGACUGUCACGCCUGUACGCUUUGUCAAAAUGACACAAAAAUUGACACACACAUGUAUCUCAAUAAGAUCUACAAAAAAGUCAGUGCGGGCGUAUCUGUCAAAUGUACGGUUAAAGGGUUAUUUCGCAUUUUUUGCCGAUCCGCACACAUUGGAAUUUCGCUAACUCCUCCGAAGGCUUUCGUUCCACUGGCACCACAUUUGCUCAGGCCAAUCUACACCCCAUGGCCAUUCAAAGUUGUACAAAUCAUGAUGCUGCACCCCACGGUUUACAUUCUAGGGGGCGCCAAAUAUAACCCAAAAAUCCACAGUCUUAAAAGUCUUAACUUUUUAUUUUUGUCCUCACUGGCCUCCAAGUUCUCUAGGAUGAUGCAAUGUCCAGCCAUCAACACAUUUGUGAAGGAAUUUUUACUCGCCAAAAGAGCGCCCAUGGCAGGAGAAAAAAGUCCAUUUUUUCUUGUCUCCUAAGGCGAAAAUACACAUUGUUGACUGUCACACCUUUACGCUUUGUCAAAAUGACACAAAAUUUGACACACACAUGUAUCUCAAUAAGAUCUACGAAAAAGUCAAUGCGAGCGUAUCUGUUCAAUGUACGGUUAAAGGGCUAUUUCGCAUUUUUUGCCGAUUCGCACACAUUGGAAUGUGGCUAACUCCUCCUGAAGCUUUUGUCCCAUCGGCUUCAAAUUUGCUCAGGUCAAUCUACACCCCAUGGCCAUUAAAAGUUGUACAAAUCAUGACGCUGCACCCCACGGUUUACGUUCUAGGGGGCGCCAAAGAGGACCCAAAUAUCCACAUUUUUAAAAGUCUUAUAACUUUUUAUUUUUGUCCUCACUGGCCUCCAAGUUUUCUAGGAUGAUGCAAUGUCCAGCCAUCAACACAUUUGUGAAGGAAUUUUUUCUCCCCAAAAGAGCGCCCCCCCAUGGCAGGAGAAAAAGUCAAGUUUUUCCUGCCCAUCGCUCAAUGGCUCAAACGCAUCGCUCUCUCGGCAAAACCGAAAGGAGGAGCAACUUGCCAUUUGGAUAUAUACUAGCUGUGUUUGUGCCCUCACUCAUGGUCCAGACUUUUUUCAAAAAGGACAUGGAGUUUGUCUGCAGCGAGCGUUUUGGUAGAAACAGCGCCUCCCAUUCAUUAUAAUGGUAAAUGACCACAGACAAGUGCGCACACCAUCUUUGGACCUUGAGUGUGACGCGAUCGGGAGGGGUAGGCGGUCGCGCUGGGGGCGGCGCGACACGGCUCGGGCCCGCCAGUGCCCCAACGGGGCCCUAGUUAGGGCCCGAGCGUAGCUGCUAAGCAGCUGCGAGAGCCCUGUUGUUCCUGUAUAGGUUUUUCUUUGUUUUUAGGGCCCGAGCCAGCUGCAGAGCAGCCGGGCGUAGAGCCCUAUUAUUCCUGUAUAGGUUUUUCUUUCUUCUUUCAUUUUCUUUCUUCUUAUUUUUCCUCCCCUUUGAAGGGGAAAAUGGCCCACUUCCCACUGGCGAAAACUCAUGAAAUUUGGCAGGACGACCGGGCCUGGUGAAAAAUUCGAUAUUCUGAAGUUGCCCAAACAAUAAAAUGCAAAAUGGCUCCAUAGCGCCCCCUAAGGUGAAAAUUCACACUAUUGAGUGUCACACCUGUACGCUUUGUCAUAUUGACACAAAAAUUGACACACACGUCUAUCUCAAUAAGAUCUACAAAAAAGUCAAUGCGGGCGUAUCUGUCAAAUGUACGGUAAAAGGGCUAUUUCGCAUUUUUUGGCGAUCCGUACACAUUGGAAUUUCGCUAACUCCUCCGAAGGCUUUCGUUCCACCGGCACCACAUUUGCUCAGGCCAAUCUUCACUCCAUGGCCAUUCAAAGUUGUACAAAUCAUGAUGCUGCACCCCAUGGUUUAGGUUCUAGAGGGCGCCAAAAAUAACCCAAAAAUCCACAUUCUUAAAAGUUUUAUAACUUUUUAUUUUUGUCCUCACUGGCCUCCAAGUUUUCUAGGAUGAUGCAAUGUCCAGCCAUCAACACAUUUGUGAAGGAAUUUUGACUCCCCAAAAGAGCGCCCCCCCAUGGCAGGACAAAAAAGUCAAUUUUUUCUUGUCCCCUAAGGUGAAAAUACACAUUGUUGAGAUUCACGCCUGUACGCUUUGUCAUAUUGACAAAAAAUUUGACACACACGUGUAUCUCAAUAAGAUCUACGAAUAAGUCAAUGGGCACGUAUCUGUAAAAUGUACGGUUAAAGGGCUAUUUUGCAUUUUUUGCCCAUUCGCACACAUUGGAAUGUGGCUAACUCCUCCUAAGGCUUUCGUCCCACUGACACCAAAUUUGCUCAUGCCAAUCUACACCCCAUGGCCAUUAAAAGUUGUAAAAAUCAUGCCGCUGCACCCCAUGGUUUACGUUCUAGGGGGCGCCAAAGAUGACCCAAAAAUCCACAUUCUUAAAAGUCGUUUUGGCCACUGCAGGAGUACAGAGUACUGCAGGAUACACACACACACACACACACACACACACACACACACACACACACACACACACACACACACACACACGCACACGCACACACACACACAGCGUCUUUUUUUUAGCACCUGCAAAAACAUGCUAUUUACAUAUUUGAAAACAAUGCAGAGGCUUCCUUUUGCCCCUGAAAAAAAUGAAAUUUCAAACACAACUUGACUGCUCAUUUCUCCAAAAGACAACCAUGAAGCUCCAUCCAAACCUGAAGCAAGCAGUUGGUGCAUGUGUACAGUAACCUGAGGGGAGUGAGGUGACUGCUUCUGAGGAGAACAUGAGCAGUGAAGAUUCACCUUGGAGCGAGAACAGGGACGUGCACAUGAUUAUACAGGGGCAGGGGCUCAAGUUUUUUCCAGUCGUUUAUACAAUAUGGAAAUUAUUGUGAAAUUAAAAAACUAUGUCAGUCCAUGUGUAAUUUUUCCAUAAUUCUUUGUUUUUUGCAGCAUUUUUGUUAGUGUAACUGCAGAUUGUGCUGACAGUGUCUAUGGCACAAAAAAAAAAAAUUAAAAUGCCUCAACAUGAACCCCUGGUGGUCUCUGAGGGUGAAACCUGCUAACUGCUGCAGCUCUGUCAGCUUCAGUCUCCCAUGCAGAGCUCGGAGCGCAUGUGUGGCUCUGCACCCUUAGCAGCAUUGCUAACUCCUCAGUAAGGAAAGCCUGCUUCAUGUCAGAGUCUCUAAACUCCAGAAGAAGUCGAUAAAAGUCCCUUUCUUUCUAAAAAAAAGUCGUUAGGGGGUCUGAAAAGUCAUUGAAUCUAACAACAAAGUCGCUAGGUUUGCAACUACGUGUCCCAGACUGCAUCCCUGCUGAGAGUCCCUCCCUCCCUUCUCAUGUUGCAGGAAGAACGUAAGCGCCCGCCCCUUGUCAAUCAGUCACCAUAUAAUUUUGGAUUGGUUGUUGUGGUGAAGUUUUCCACCAAUAGGAGAGAUGUUGUGGUGUGUUUUUUUUUUCUUUUGGCAAGCCUUUUCCGCCUGUAAGACCUGUCGCUAAUGUCUGCAUGCUAUGUUUUCCUGUCUCAUACAGCGCGAUCGAGCGCCGAACGUGAUCAAAAUAAGCAGAAAAAAAGUAUCGCGGACAUAAUUUAUCAUAACUCUGGUUUUAUUUGGCCUAUCAACACAAUUUAAAAACUGGUAUAUAGGUUGAGGUCCUCACUUUUGAGAUAAGUUGAAACGGAGAGUCAACGAGGCUCCGUCUUGCAGCUACAUCCGGUUAAAUAUGUCAUGUGACUUGAACGCACACACAGACACACACACACACACACGCACACACACACACUCAGAGUCUGGUUUUUAGCACCUGCAAAAACAUGCUAUUUACAUAUUUGACAAGAAUGCAGAGGCUCCUUUUGCCCCUGAAAAAAAUCAAAUUUCAAACACAACUUGACUGCUCAUUUCUCCAAAAGACAACCAUGAAGCUCCAUCCAAACCUGAAGCAGGCAGUUGGUGCAUGUGUACAGUAACCUGAGGGGAGUGAGGUGAGUGCUUCUGAGGAGAACAUGAGCAGUGAAGAUUCACCUUGGAGCUAGAACAGAGACAUGCACAUGAUUAUACAGGGGCAGGGGCUCAAGUUUUUUCCAGUCGUUUAUACAAUAGGGAAAUUAAUGUGAAAUUAAAACACAAAGUAUUAAUAGAAAGGUAAUGACUGUCCUGUGUAGGUGACAGUGAUAUCCAAUAGGCUAGGCACUCACGAGGCUGGCUGUGGCAAGUGUAAGUGAAAGCAACACGCACUGGCAGGAAGAACAGCAAACGCCGAUGAAGGAAAAGGGUCUUUGCAGUGAUGGGCGUUACCAGAGAGGGCGAUGGCCAGAGGACACAAAUGGGACGGGAAGGCAGCACGUUGGGGGGGGGGGGGGGACGCGACACGGCUCGGGCCCGCCAGUGCCCCAACGGGGUCCUAGUUAGGGCCCGAGCGUAGCUGCUAAGCAGCUGCGAGAGCCCUCUUGUUCCUGAUGGAUUCUUCUUUUGUUAGGGCCCGAGCGUAGCUGCUAAGCAGGUGCGAGAGCCCUCUUGUUAUUAUUAGGGCCCGAGCGUAGCUGCUAAGCAGCUGCGAGAGCCCUCUUGUUCCUGCAUGUUUCCUUCUUUCGUUAGGGCCCGAGCCAGCUGCAGAGCAGCCGGGCGUAGAGCCCUAUUAUUCCUGAUGAGUUUUUCUUUCUUCUUUCUUUCUUUCUUUCUUUCUUUCUUCUUAUUUUUCCUCCCCUUUGAAGGGGAAAAUGGCCCACUUCCCACUGGCGAAAACUCAUGACAUUUGGCAGGAUGACCGGGCCUGGUGAAAAAUUCGAUAUUCUGAAGUCGCCCAAACAAUAAAAUGCAAAAUGGCUCCAUAGCGCCCCCUAAGGUGGAAAUUCACACUAUUGACUGUCACGCCUGUACGCUUUGUCAUAUUGACACAAAAAUUGACACACACAUGUAUCUCAAUACGAUCUACAAAAAAGUCAGUGUGGGCGUAUCUGUCAAAUGUACGGUUAAAGGGUUAUUUCGCAUUUUUUGCCGAUCCGCACACAUUGGAAUUUCGCUAACUCCUCCGAAGGCUUUCGUUCCACCGGCACCAAAUUUGCUCAGGCCAAUCUACACCCCAUGGCCAUUAAAAGUUGUACAAAUCAUGACGCUGCACCCCACGGUUUAGGUUCUAGGGGGCGCCAAAGAUAACCCAAAAAUCCACAUUCUUAAAAGUCUUAUAACUUUUUAUUUUUGUCCUCACUGGCCUCCAAGUUCUCUAGGAUGAUGCAAUGUCCAGCAAUUAACACAUUUGUGAAGGAAUUUUUACUCCCCAAAAGAGCGCCCCCCCAUGGCAGGAGAAAAAAGUCCAUUUUUUUCUUGUCCCCUAAGGCGAAAAUACACAUUGUUGAGUGUCACGCCUGUACGCUUUUUCAUAUUGACACAAAAUUUGACAAUCACGUGUAUCUCAAUAAGAUCUACGAAAAAGUCAAUGUGCACGUAUCUGUAAAAUGUACGGUUAAAGGGCUAUUUCGCAUUUUUUGCCGAUUCGCACACAUUGGAAUGAUGGUAACUCCUCCUAAGGCUUUCGUUCCACUGACACCAAAUUUGCUCAGGCCAAUCUACACCCCAUGGCCAUUCAAAGUUGUAAAAAUCAUGACGCUGCACCCCACGGUUUACGUUCUAGGGGGCGCCAAAGAGGACCCAAAUAUCCACAUUUUUAAAAGUCUUAUAACUUUAUUUUUGUCCUCACUGGCCUCCAAGUUUUCUAGGAUGAUGCAAUGUUCAGUCAUCAACACAUUUGUGAAGGAAUUUUUUCUCCCCAAAAGAGCGCCCUCCCAUGGCAGGAGAAAAAGUCAAGUUUUUCCUGCCCAUCGCUCAAUGGCUCAAACGCAUCGCUCUCUCGGCAAAACCGAAAGGAGGAGCACCUUGCCAUUUGGAUAUAUACUAGCUGUGUUUGUGCCCUCACUCAUGGUCCAGACUUUUUUCAAAAAGGACAUGGAGUUUGUCUGCAACGAGCGUUUUGGUAGAAACUGCGCCUCCCAUUCAUUAUAAUGGUAAAUGACCACAGACAAGUGCGCACACCAUCUUUGGACCUUGAGUGUGACGGGAUCGGGAGGGGUAGGCGGUCGCGCUGGGGGCGGCGCGACACAGCUCGGGCCCGCCAGUGUCCCAACGGGGCCCUAGUUAUUAUUAUUUUUCCUCCCCUUUGAACUGGAAAAUGGCCCACUUCCCACUGGCGAAAACUCAUGAAAUUUGGCAGGACGACCGGGCCUGGUGAAAAAUUUGAUAUUCCGAAGUCGCCCAAACAAGAAAAUGCAAAAUGGCUCCAUAGCGCCCCCUAAGGUGAAAAUUCACACUAUUGACUGUCACGCGUGUACGCUUUGUCAAAAUGACACAAAAAUUGACACACACAUGUAUCUCAAUAAGAUCUACAAAAAAGUCAGUGCGGGCGUAUCUGUCAAAUGUACGGUUAAAGGGUUAUUUCGCAUUUUUUGCCGAUCCGCACACAUUGGAAUUUCGCUAACUCCUCUGAAGGCUUUCGUUCCACCGGCACCACAUUUGCUCAGGCCAAUCUACACCCCAUGGCCAUUAAAAGUUAUUCAAAUCAUGACGCUGCACCCCACGGUUUAGGUUCUAGGGGGCGCCAAAGAAAACCCUAAGAUCCACAUAUUUAAAAGUCUUAUAACUUUUUAUUUUUGCCCUCACUGGCCUCCAAGUUUUCUAGGAUGAUGCAAUGUCCAGCCAUCAACACAUUUGUGAAGGAAUUUUUACUCCCCAAAAGAGCGCCCCCCCAUGGCAGGAGAAAAAAGUCCAUUUUUUCUUGUCCCCUAAGGUGAAAAUACACAUUGUUGAGUGUAACACCUGUACGCUUUGUCAAAAUGAUACAAAAAUUGACACACACAUGUAUCUCAAUAAGAUCUACGAAAAAGUCAAUGCG